UCCAGCCCCAGGGCCCAGGGAGGGGCUGGGCAGUCCCUGGAGGGACCCCCAUUUGCAUGGCAGCCCCUCCUCUGGCAGAGGGUGGGGGAGAAAAGGAGGCCUGGGCAGCCCAGCCCCACUGUGGGCUCAGGGCUGUGAGCACCAUGGCCUGGACUCCUCUGCUCCUCGCGCUCCUCUCUCACUGCACAGGGUCCCUCUCCCAGCCUGUGCUGACUCAGCUGCCCUCCCUCUCUGCAUCUCCGGGAGCCACAGCCACACUCACCUGCACCUUGAAAGGUGGCUCCAAUGUUGGCGUCUAUAACAUAAUCUGGUAUCAGCAGAACCCAGGGAGCCCUACCCGAUAUCUCCUGAGAUAUAAAUCAGACUCUGACAAGCACCAGGGUUCCGGGGUCCCCAGCCGCUUCUCUGGAUCCAAAGACGCCUCGGCCAAUGCGGGGCUCCUGACCAUCUCGGGGCUGCAGCCUGAGGACGAGGCUGAGUAUUUCUGUGCUGUAGAACAUGGCAGUGGGAGCGCUUUCAUUACACACAGUGUCCCAGAUGACGAGGAAGUGAGACCAAAACCCCUGGGCCCCGAGGUGGUGGCUCUGAGCCUCCAUUAG